rnacentral:rRNA from 1 species
CCCGGGGGGCAGAGCACUGGAUGGGCAAUGGGGGCAUACAGCCUUACUGACCCUAACCAAACUCCGAAUACCCGGGAGUACUAGACGGCAGACACACUGCGGAUGCUAACGUCCGUAGUGGAGAGGGAAACAACCCUGACCUCCAGCUAAGGCCCCUAAUUCAUGGCUAAGUGGGAAAGCAAGUGGGACGACCAAAACAACCAGGAAGUUGGCUUAGAAGCAGCCAUCUUUUAAAGAUAGCGUAACAGCUCACUGGUCUAAUUAAGUUAUCCUGCGGCGAAGAUGUACCGGGGCUCAAGCCAUGAGCCGAAGCUGAGGAUGCACGUAAGUGCAUGGUAGCGGAGCGUUCUGUGAUAUAGAAC